rnacentral:misc_RNA from 1 species
AACCUUAUGGACCUGCGGGCGUAUACCUGCGGAAGGAUCAUUACAGAGUUAUCCAACUCCCAAACCCAUGUGAACUUAUCUCUUUGUUGCCUCGGCGCAAGCUACCCGGGACCCCGCGCCCCGGGCGGCCCGCCGGCGGACAAACCAAAACUCUUGUUAUCUUAGUUGAUUCUCUGAGCGUCUUAUUUAAUAAGUCAAAACUUUCAACAACGGAUCUCAGAUCGGAGAGCACACGUCUGA